rnacentral:rRNA from 1 species
ACGGAAGGCAGCAGUGGGGAAUAUUGGGCAAUGGGCGAAAGCCUGACCCAGCAACGCCGCGUGAAGGAAGAAGGUCCUCGGAUUGUAAACUUCUUUUAUCAGGGACGAAGAAUGUGACGGUACCUGAUGAAUAAGCCACGGCUAACUACGCGCCAGCAGCCGCGGUAAUACGUAGGUGGCGAGCGUUAUCCGGAUUUACUGGGUGUAAAGGGCGCGUAGGCGGGGAUGCAAGUCAGAUGUGAAAUCCAUGGGCUUAACUCAUGAACUGCAUUUGAAACUGUAUCUCUUGAGUGUCGGAGAGGCAAGCGGAAUUCCUAGUGUAGCGGUGAAAUGCGUAGAUAUUAGGAGGAACACCAGUGGCGAAGGCGGCUUGCUGGACGAUAACUGACGCUGAGGCGCGAAAGCGUGGGGAGCAAACAGGAUUAGAUACCCUGGUA